rnacentral:rRNA from 1 species
UACAGAGGUCCCGAGCGUUGUUCGGAUUCACUGGGCGUAAAGGGUGCGCAGGUGGGUUUGCAAGUUUGAUGUGAAAGCCCCGGGCUUAACCCGGGAAUGGCAUUGAAUACUGCAGAUCUGGAGGAUUGGAGGGGGGACUGGAAUUCUUGGUGUAGCAGUGAAAUGCGUAGAUAUCAGGAGGAAUACCGAUGGCGAAGGCAGGUCUCUGGGCUGACACUGACGCUCAUGCACGAAAGCGUGGGGAGCAAACAGG